rnacentral:tRNA from 1 species
GACCGCGUAGCUCAGUUGGCAGAGCAUUGGGCUAGUAUUCCAAAGGUCGUAGGUUCGAUUCCCACAGCGAUCA